CGUGUAGGCGGCUAAGUAAGUCUGGGGUGAAAGUCCUGCUUUUAAGGUGGGAAUUGCUUUGGGUACUGCAUAGCUAGAGUGCAGGAGAGGUAAGUGGAAUUCCCAGUGUAGCGGUGAAAUGCGUAGAGAUUGGGAGGAACACCAGUGGCGAAGGCGACUUACUGGACUGUAACUGACGCUGAGGCGCGAAAGUGUGGGGAGCAAACA
rnacentral:rRNA from 1 species